rnacentral:rRNA from 1 species
GGGAGCUUGCUCCCUGAUGUCAGCGGCGGACGGGUGAGUAACACGUGGGUAACCUGCCUGUAAGACUGGGAUAACUCCGGGAAACCGGGGCUAAUACCGGAUGCUUGAUUGAACCGCAUGGUUCAAUUAUAAAAGGUGGCUUUUAGCUACCACUUACAGAUGGACCCGCGGCGCAUUAGCUAGUUGGUGAGGUAACGGCUCACCAAGGCAACGAUGCGUAGCCGACCUGAGAGGGUGAUCGGCCACACUGGGACUGAGACACGGCCCAGACUCCUACGGGAGGCAGCAGUAGGGAAUCUUCCGCAAUGGACGAAAGUCUGACGGAGCAACGCCGCGUGAGUGAUGAAGGUUUUCGGAUCGUAAAACUCUGUUGUUAGGGAAGAACAAGUACCGUUCGAAUAGGGCGGUACCUUGACGGUACCUAACCAGAAAGCCACGGCUAACUACGUGCCAGCAGCCGCGGUAAUACGUAGGUGGCAAGCGUUGUCCGGAAUUAUUGGGCGUAAAGCGCGCGCAGGCGGUUUCUUAAGUCUGAUGUGAAAGCCCCCGGCUCAACCGGGGAGGGUCAUUGGAAACUGGGGAACUUGAGUGCAGAAGAGGAGAGUGGAAUUCCACGUGUAGCGGUGAAAUGCGUAGAGAUGUGGAGGAACACCAGUGGCGAAGGCGACUCUCUGGUCUGUAACUGACGCUGAGGCGCG